GUGGGGAAUAUUGGACAAUGGGCGAAAGCCUGAUCCAGCCAUGCCGCGUGUGUGAAGAAGGUCUUCGGAUUGUAAAGCACUUUAAGUUGGGAGGAAGGGCAGUAAGUUAAUACCUUGCUGUUUUGACGUUACCGACAGAAUAAGCACCGGCUAACUUCGUGCCAGCAGCCGCGGUAAUACGAAGGGUGCAAGCGUUAAUCGGAAUUACUGGGCGUAAAGCGCGCGUAGGUGGUUUUGUAAGUUGGAGGUGAAAUCCACGGGCUCAACCUGGGAACUGCCUCAAAAACUACUGUGCUAGAGUACGGUAGAGGGUAGUGGAAUUUCCUGUGUAGCGGUGAAAUGCGUAGAUAUAGGAAGGAACACCAGUGGCGAAGGCGACUACCUGGACUGAUACUGACACUGAGGUGCGAAAGCGUGGGGAGCAAACAGGAUUAGAAACCCUGGUAGUCC
rnacentral:rRNA from 1 species